UACGUAGGGUGCGAGCGUUAAUCGGAAUUACUGGGCGUAAAGCGUGCGCAGGCGGUCUGUUAAGACAGAUGUGAAAUCCCCGGGCUUAACCUGGGAACUGCAUUUGUGACUGGCAGGCUAGAGUAUGGCAGAGGGGGGUAGAAUUCCACGUGUAGCAGUGAAAUGCGUAGAGAUGUGGAGGAAUACCGAUGGCGAAGGCAGCCCCCUGGGCCAAUACUGACGCUCAUGCACGAAAGCGUGGGAGCAACAGG
rnacentral:rRNA from 1 species